rnacentral:rRNA from 1 species
AAAUUGAAGAGUUUGAUCAUGGCUCAGAUUGAACGCUGGCGGCAGGCCUAACACAUGCAAGUCGAACGGUAACAGGAAGCAGCUUGCUGCUUCGCUGACGAGUGGCGGACGGGUGAGUAAUGUCUGGGAAACUGCCUGAUGGAGGGGGAUAACUACUGGAAACGGUGGCUAAUACCGCAUAACGUCGCAAGACCAAAGAGGGGGACCUUCGGGCCUCUUGCCAUCAGAUGUGCCCAGAUGGGAUUAGCUUGUUGGUGAGGUAACGGCUCACCAAGGCGACGAUCCCUAGCUGGUCUGAGAGGAUGACCAGCCACACUGGAACUGAGACACGGUCCAGACUCCUACGGGAGGCAGCAGUGGGGAAUAUUGCACAAUGGGCGCAAGCCUGAUGCAGCCAUGCCGCGUGUAUGAAGAAGGCCUUAGGGUUGUAAAGUACUUUCAGCGGGGAGGAAGGUGUUGUGGUUAAUAACCACAGCAAUUGACGUUACCCGCAGAAGAAGCACCGGCUAACUCCGUGCCAGCAGCCGCGGUAAUACGGAGGGUGCAAGCGUUAAUCGGAAUUACUGGGCGUAAAGCGCACGCAGGCGGUCUGUCAAGUCGGAUGUGAAAUCCCCGGGCUCAACCUGGGAACUGCAUUCGAAACUGGCAGGCUUGAGUCUUGUAGAGGGGGGUAGAAUUCCAGGUGUAGCGGUGAAAUGCGUAGAGAUCUGGAGGAAUACCGGUGGCGAAGGCGGCCCCCUGGACAAAGACUGACGCUCAGGUGCGAAAGCGUGGGGAGCAAACAGGAUUAGAUACCCUGGUAGUCCACGCCGUAAACGAUGUCUACUUGGAGGUUGUGCCCUUGAGGCGUGGCUUCCGGAGCUAACGCGUUAAGUAGACCGCCUGGGGAGUACGGCCGCAAGGUUAAAACUCAAAUGAAUUGACGGGGGCCCGCACAAGCGGUGGAGCAUGUGGUUUAAUUCGAUGCAACGCGAAGAACCUUACCUGGUCUUGACAUCCACAGAACUUUCCAGAGAUGGAUUGGUGCCUUCGGGAACUGUGAGACAGGUGCUGCAUGGCUGUCGUCAGCUCGUGUUGUGAAAUGUUGGGUUAAGUCCCGCAACGAGCGCAACCCUUAUCCUUUGUUGCCAGCGGUUAGGCCGGGAACUCAAAGGAGACUGCCAGUGAUAAACUGGAGGAAGGUGGGGAUGACGUCAAGUCAUCAUGGCCCUUACGACCAGGGCUACACACGUGCUACAAUGGCGCAUACAAAGAGAAGCGACCUCGCGAGAGCAAGCGGACCUCAUAAAGUGCGUCGUAGUCCGGAUUGGAGUCUGCAACUCGACUCCAUGAAGUCGGAAUCGCUAGUAAUCGUGGAUCAGAAUGCCACGGUGAAUACGUUCCCGGGCCUUGUACACACCGCCCGUCACACCAUGGGAGUGGGUUGCAAAAGAAGUAGGUAGCUUAACCUUCGGGAGGGCGCUUACCACUUUGUGAUUCAUGACUGGGGUGAAGUCGUAACAAGGUAACCGUAGGGGAACCUGCGGUUGGAUCACCUCCUUA